rnacentral:rRNA from 1 species
GUAGGGAAUAUUGGGCAAUGGUCGGAAGACUGACCCAGCCAUGCCGCGUGCAGGAAGACGGCCCUCUGGGUUGUAAACUGCUUUUAUCUGGGAAGAAAAAGGCCAUGCGUGGCAAAUUGCCGGUACCAGAUGAAUAAGCACCGGCUAACUCCGUGCCAGCAGCCGCGGUAAUACGGAGGGUGCGAGCGUUGUCCGGAUGUAUUGGGUUUAAAGGGUGCGUAGGCGGCUGAUUAAGUCAGCGGUGAAAGACUUGGGCUUAACCGGAGCAGUGCCGUUGAUACUGGUUGGCUUGAGUGUCGGAGGGGUACAUGGAAUUGAUGGUGUAGCGGUGAAAUGCAUAGAUACCAUCAGGAACACCGAUAGCGAAGGCAUUGUACUGGCCGACAACUGACGCUGAUGCACGAAAGUGUGGGGAUCGAACAGGAUUAGAUACCCUUGUAGUCC